CCGUAGGUGAACCUGCGGAAGGAUCAUUAUCGUUGGGCUUCGGCCCAUU
rnacentral:rRNA from 1 species